UCCACAUUUGGAUACUUGAAUCUCAUUCAAGUAAAUGUGCAGAAAGGACUAUAAAUUUAGAGCCAAUCAUUUGACAUUAUCUGAACAAAAUCAGCAGAGAUCUAAUUUAACCAAAGAAAACUUUCUAUCCAAAUGUCAGUCAUCUGGGUAACCUUGAGAGGAUGCAUUCAUCACAUGCUACUGAGCACAUGGACAUGCAAUGCUCCUGUUAAAAAGGAAUCUGACUGCUGAAAAUGAGAGAACAGAGUUUCAAGAGCAAAGAUCAAUCAAAAUGCACAGCUGGUUGAGGCAGUCUAUGAAGAUGUGGAAAGCCCUACUGACAGAGACUUAUUUGGAAUGUAACAGCCAGGGCCAGAAACAAAAUCUACAAAA